AAUUUCUUAGGAUAUUAAAGUUUCCAAAUUUAUGCACAUGGCCAGCAAUGCGGAAGGUGGGUAAGUCAUAUCAACGACAAGCAUUCUUUAUUGGCACUUUAUUUCGUUGACAUAGAAAAAAAAUGAAAGGCAAAGCUGACCUGAGUAGGAUCUGAACUCAGGCCAUGCAUUACUAUAGAAAGUUAAUGAGAAAGCGUGACAUGCAUUUGCUUUGGGCCAAUUUUUCAACCUGUCAUUUUGGAGCUAAGGAGCAACCAAAUUCAUCAAGAAUAAAGUAGAAGCAUAGAAUCCAAAUCACCGCAAAAGAUAACCCUUGCUUGUGAGAACAUGACGAAAUUGUGUUGCAGUUCCAUAAUAGGAUGUGAUUUUGCGAAGGAACAAAGAUGACAAGAUACAUUUGGUUACAUGUACAUAGGUACUUUAUCCAAGUGUCCACUCAAUGCUCACUUCAAAGAUACAAGGGUCAACUCAAAGCAACACUGAAAUUGAGUCUAAAUUGUUUGAAACACAAGCCUGAGACCGUACCAAGUGGAAGUGUUCCAUCACCAUCAGAACCAAAAACUUUGAAGCCAUCAGAAGAGAAAUGGAAGAAAUCAAAUGACAGGAGAGAAAGGUUUGACACAAAUCAUCCUCAUCCUUCGCCAACAUUACCAUGCAGUCAAUGCCAUUGACCCUUCAAUGCAAGAACUGGUCUACAGAGUCAAUAACGACGUCACCAUAAAGGAAGCAUUCAGCAAAGAAGAAACUAAAUUCUUGGAUUCAAGAUAAAGCCAACGACAACAUUGUGCAAUUUAGCUGCUGCCAAAAAUUCAUAGACCUUUAAGUUUCAUCACACACUUCAUGAGAAUGUUCUAGUGUCAAGUUUCUUUUCUUUUUUUUAUUCAAUUUCAAAGGACACGUCUAAAGGUAAUCAAAUUUAUUUCCAAUUUAAUAAAAUUAUUAUUAUUUUUUUUUUUGUAGUAUAAAAUAUUGAGUUAAUCCAUUACAGAGUUUAUAAGGUAGGAGCUUAACCCCACUUUCCAAGAGUUAAGUUGAUAAACGAUCUCCUCCCCCUUGCUAAGGACUACAGUCAAUCACUAGGUGCUUAUUUUCCCCAGACAGGUGAACUGAGACAAUCAAUGCAGAAUUAAAUAUCUGCUAGAAACACUUUUUAAGUCAGCAAUCUAAUAUCUUAUUGUUCCACCCUUGUUCCACCCCACUAAGUAGUUUUUAAAGAAUAAUACUUUGAGAGAUAAAAUCAAUGUCCAGGAUAAGAGGAUAUUAAUACAAAUGAAAUAUUAGAUACUGAUACAACCGAUAGCUAGUCGUGUAGCCCCAAAUGUAAUAGGUCUAUGAUCAGCAGGCAUGAACAAACAGCCUGUUA